rnacentral:rRNA from 1 species
UACGUAGGGGGCAAGCGUUGUCCGGAUUUAUUGGGCGUAAAGAGCUCGUAGGCGGUUUGUUGCGUCGGCUGUGAAAUCCCGAGGCUCAACCUCGGGUCUGCAGUCGAUACGAGCAAACUAGAGUGUUGCAGGGGAGACUGGAAUUCCUGGUGUAGCGGUGAAAUGCGCAGAUAUCAGGAGGAACACCGGUGGCGAAGGCGGGUCUCUGGGCCGUAACUGACGCUGAGGAGCGAAAGCAUGGGGAGCGAACAGG